rnacentral:rRNA from 1 species
UACGUAGGGUGCGAGCGUUAAUCGGAAUUACUGGGCGUAAAGCGUGCGCAGGCGGUUAUAUAAGACAGAUGUGAAAUCCCCGGGCUCAACCUGGGAACUGCGUUUGUGACUGUAUGACUAGAGUACGGCAGAGGGAGGUGGAAUUCCGCGUGUAGCAGUGAAAUGCGUAGAUAUGCGGAGGAACACCGAUGGCGAAGGCAGCCUCCUGGGCCAGUACUGACGCUCAUGCACGAAAGCGUGGGAGCAAACAGG